rnacentral:rRNA from 1 species
CCUACGGGAGGCUGCAGUAGGGAAUUUUCGUCAAUGGGCGCAAGCCUGAACGAGCGAUGCCGCGUGAGUGAAGAAGGCCUUCUGGUUGUAAAGCUCUGUUGCGGGGGAAAAAAGGCAGCAUCAGGAAAUGGUUGCUUACUGAUGGUGCCCCGCCAGAAAGUCACGGCUAACUACGUGCCAGCAGCCGCGGUAAUACGUAGGUGGCAAGCGUUAUCCGGAAUGAUUGGGCGUAAAGGUUGGGCAGGCUGUCCUGCAAGUCUGGAGUGAAACGCAUGAGCUCAAAUCAUGCAUGGCUUUGGAAACUGGAGGACUGGAGAGCAGGAGAGGGCGGUGGAACUCGAUGUGUAGCGGUAAAAUGCGUAGAUAUAUGGAAGAACACCAGUGGCGAAGGCGGCGGACUGGCCUGUUGCUGACGCUGAGGCACGAAAGCGUGGGGAGCAAAUAGGAUUAGAUACCCGGGUAGUC